UAUAUGAAUAAAUGUAGUUUCUUAGAAUGUAGUAGAAAUAUAUUUUUAAAAACUACAUCUUUAUCUUCUUAUAAAGUUGCCAUGUUGAAAAUUCUUCGUAUAUGGACCGUUUAUUUUGAAAGUGGUGUAAGUCUAUUGUCCGUAGAAAAAAAGAAAGAGAAAAAAGGAUUACCGAUAUACACCACAGGAUUAUUAUGAUAUUAUAAAACAAUGUAAACAACAUAAUAAGUUCAUUGUACACAAAAUGAAACGAGAGAAUUUCGUUUCAACGAAAAACCUACAAAAUGCAAUCAGAAACAGAUAACAAGAGACAUUAAUAAAUAAAAGGUAAAUUGGUUGCAAAUAUGUUGGAUGAAGUUUUUCAAAAGUGCAUCAUAUUUUAUAUGGAUGCCAUGUGCUGUUGAAGUGAAGACUCCGACUAUUUUUAGUCACCUAACUGAUUCCAAGCCCAGACAAAAGGGAAGGGUUUCGAGGGUGAAGCCUAGCAACCUACCUAAAAACAAAAACAAAGCAUUCCAAGAAAUAUCAAUAAAAGCUAUUAUAACGGAACGAAGUUCUAAUAAAAAGAAGAAGAAGAACAGACACGGUGAUAUAGCACUGGUUACUGCUCGAUCAUUAAGUCAAGCAGCUCUGAGUACGAUUAGUACUUGGAUGGGUGACCCGCUUGAAAAAACCGAUGUGCCGUUGACGCCAAGACUCCUCCGGCCUAGUUAAACAUCUAAAGCUGAUCUCAAGCCCAGAUAAAAGGAGAAGGUUCCAGAGGGUGAAGCCUAGCAACCUACUUACCCGCGAUAAAAACAAAAACAAAGCAUUCCAGGAAAUAGCAAUAAAAGCUAUUAUAACGGAACGAAGUUCUAAUAAAAAGAAGAAGAAGAACAGACACGGUGAUAUAGCACUGGUUACUGCUCGAUCAUUAAGUCAAGCAGCUCUGAGUACGAUUAGUACUUGGAUGGGUGACUCGCUUGAAAAACCGAUGUGCCGUUGACUCCAAGACUCCUCCGGCCUAGUUAAACAUCUAAAGCUGAUCUCAAGCCCAGAUAAAAGGAGAGGGUUCAGAGGGUGAGGCUUGCAAACACCUACCCUCGGUAAAAACAAUAAAUCGCUCCUAGAAAUAGCAAUAAAUAAACAAGCUAUUAUAACAGGAAAAAGUCCUAAUAAAAAAAAGAAGAAGAAGAAGAAGAUAACAGGAUGAAGUUUUUAAUAAAAAGAAGAAGAAAAAGAAGAGAGAAGAAAAGUUUUUUGUUCGUUGGAUGUAAAUCAAUACACAUUAUAUAUUAUCGAACAUUCUGUCGUUAAAUACUCAUAUAAGUUGCUUUACAAAUGCAAGCUUUUCUAAAUAAUGCAAAAUAAAAAGCAUACAAAGUUACAAUAAUUUUAGACUACACUCUAUUUAUUAAAAAAAUCGAUACGAGCGGAGAACUAAAGUCAGGGUUCAUUUCUGGAAAUAAUUAUUGACUGGAUACUAGAAUGUACCCAGAGCACCAAUGCGAAGAUGCCGGAAACAGAAAUCCCUUCCUAUUAUCGGAAGAGUUAUUAGGAAACAAUUCGAGAUUUCGUCCUAUCGAGGAUGAAUUUCCACCUUUCGAAUUGUAAUUCUUCGUUGCUAAUUUUCUACAUAAUAGCACUUUGCAAUACCACAUUGAAAUACUCAAGGAAGAUUUGAUAAUGCUCGGUAUGUACCUACCAGCAUCUUUUUCGAAGAAUCAACUUUCUAUUUUUCUAAAAAACGUUU
rnacentral:lncRNA from 1 species